AAAUUGAAGAGUUUGAUCAUGGCUCAGAUUGAACGCUGGCGGCAGGCCUAACACAUGCAAGUCGAGCGGUAGCACAGAGAGCUUGCUCUCGGGUGACGAGCGGCGGACGGGUGAGUAAUGUCUGGGAAACUGCCUGAUGGAGGGGGAUAACUACUGGAAACGGUAGCUAAUACCGCAUAACGUCGCAAGACCAAAGUGGGGGACCUUCGGGCCUCAUGCCAUCAGAUGUGCCCAGAUGGGAUUAGCUAGUAGGUGGGGUAACGGCUCACCUAGGCGACGAUCCCUAGCUGGUCUGAGAGGAUGACCAGCCACACUGGAACUGAGACACGGUCCAGACUCCUACGGGAGGCAGCAGUGGGGAAUAUUGCACAAUGGGCGCAAGCCUGAUGCAGCCAUGCCGCGUGUGUGAAGAAGGCCUUCGGGUUGUAAAGCACUUUCAGCGGGGAGGAAGGCGUUAAGGUUAAUAACCUUGUCGAUUGACGUUACCCGCAGAAGAAGCACCGGCUAACUCCGUGCCAGCAGCCGCGGUAAUACGGAGGGUGCAAGCGUUAAUCGGAAUUACUGGGCGUAAAGCGCACGCAGGCGGUCUGUCAAGUCGGAUGUGAAAUCCCCGGGCUCAACCUGGGAACUGCAUUCGAAACUGGCAGGCUAGAGUCUUGUAGAGGGGGGUAGAAUUCCAGGUGUAGCGGUGAAAUGCGUAGAGAUCUGGAGGAAUACCGGUGGCGAAGGCGGCCCCCUGGACAAAGACUGACGCUCAGGUGCGAAAGCGUGGGGAGCAAACAGGAUUAGAUACCCUGGUAGUCCACGCCGUAAACGAUGUCGAUUUGGAGGUUGUGCCCUUGAGGCGUGGCUUCCGGAGCUAACGCGUUAAAUCGACCGCCUGGGGAGUACGGCCGCAAGGUUAAAACUCAAAUGAAUUGACGGGGGCCCGCACAAGCGGUGGAGCAUGUGGUUUAAUUCGAUGCAACGCGAAGAACCUUACCUGGUCUUGACAUCCACAGAACUUAGCAGAGAUGCUUUGGUGCCUUCGGGAACUGUGAGACAGGUGCUGCAUGGCUGUCGUCAGCUCGUGUUGUGAAAUGUUGGGUUAAGUCCCGCAACGAGCGCAACCCUUAUCCUUUGUUGCCAGCGGUUAGGCCGGGAACUCAAAGGAGACUGCCAGUGAUAAACUGGAGGAAGGUGGGGAUGACGUCAAGUCAUCAUGGCCCUUACGACCAGGGCUACACACGUGCUACAAUGGCAUAUACAAAGAGAAGCGACCUCGCGAGAGCAAGCGGACCUCAUAAAGUAUGUCGUAGUCCGGAUUGGAGUCUGCAACUCGACUCCAUGAAGUCGGAAUCGCUAGUAAUCGUAGAUCAGAAUGCUACGGUGAAUACGUUCCCGGGCCUUGUACACACCGCCCGUCACACCAUGGGAGUGGGUUGCAAAAGAAGUAGGUAGCUUAACCUUCGGGAGGGCGCUUACCACUUUGUGAUUCAUGACUGGGGUGAAGUCGUAACAAGGUAACCGUAGGGGAACCUGCGGUUGGAUCACCUCCUUACCUUAAAGAA
rnacentral:rRNA from 1 species